rnacentral:rRNA from 1 species
GGUGCGCGUGCUGUAUGUGCUAACUGAUGCCCUGUGUUAUAGUGGGCCGUCAAGGUCAGUUUGUAUACUGCGGGAAAUGGCUACUGAGGAGGUAGGGCUUACGCUUGCGUUUGUCUAUUAUAUCUUGGUAGUUGUGUCGUGGUUGAGACUGAGGUGUUCUACAACGUGCUUAUGAGUGGGUCUGUGUCUCCGUGUGCGCCGUGUGCAGAUAGCUUGCUAUGUGUGUGUGGUGGUGUGUGGAUUGAUGUGGGCUUUAUCUUACUGCCGUUCGGGACUUUGGCGAAAUAGAGCGAUUUGACCCGUCUUGAAACACGGACCAAGGAGUCUAACAUGUGUGCAAGUGUUAGGGUGUGGAAACCCCAGCGCGAAAUGAAAGUAAAGGAUAGUGUAAACUAUCUUAGGUAGGAAACGUUAUGAACUUCGGUUUGUGGCGUGGCACUAUCGUCCGAUCAUGAACCCUCGUGGUGAAAGAUUUGAGUUUGAGCACAUAUGUUGGUACCCGAAAGAUGGUGAACUAUGCCUGAGUAGGGUGAAGCCAGGGGAAACUCUGGUGGAGGCUCGCAGCGAUUCUGACGUGCAAAUCGAUCGUCGAACUUGGGUAU